UAUAUAUAUAUUUAUGUUGCUCCCUUUAGAACUAAUGAGUAAUAAAAAUUCCAGCUUAGCACUCAGGAUAACCUGUCAGAUAAAAUGUAUAUUUGGACAGAUUGUACAACACAGCUAUAAGAUUGGGGGAGCUUCAGGCACAGUUUAAGCUGCAGAUAGAUCCCCAGGAGUAUGCUCGAGAAAAUCUCAAGUUUGGCCUUGUUGAAGUAGUGUAUGAAUGGGCAAAGGGAACCCCAUUUGCAGAUAUAUGUGAACUUACGGAUGUUCCCGAAGGUCUGAUAGUGAGGACCAUAGUUAGGUUGGAUGAGACAUGUCGUGAAUUCAAAAAUGCAGCUGCAAUUAUGGGUAAUUCUGCACUUCACAAAAAGAUGGAAAUUGCUUCCAACGCAAUAAAACGUGAUAUUGUUUUCGCUGCUAGCUUGUACAUUACAGGAGUGUAAUAUUUUGAGGUCAUAGGUUUGUUACCAUGUAACUUUUGUUGUGUGUUAAUUAGUCACCAGCUUGAAGUUUGCAAGUUUUGUUUAUUACCGCCCUUGUAUAUAUUAAGGGUUUAUGUAUUUUAGUCUUUGAAUGUGAAUUCUCCCAGCCUAGGCAGUGUAUUGGAUACUACAAUAGGAGAGUUUUAAUAUAAAAAUCUUUUUAGUACCAAA